rnacentral:rRNA from 1 species
AGAGUUUGAUCCUGGCUCAGAUUGAACGCUGGCGGAAUGCCUUACACAUGCAAGUCGAGCGGCAGCGCGGGGCAACCUGGCGGCGAGCGGCGAACGGGUGAGUAAUGCAUCGGAACGUGUCCAUGUCGUGGGGGAUAGCCCGGCGAAAGCCGGAUUAAUACCGUAUACGCCCGAGAGGGGAAAGUGGGGGACCGCAAGGCCUCACGCGAUUGGGUCGGCCGAUGUCCGAUUAGCUAGUUGGCGGGGUAAGGGCCCACCAAGGCGAUGAUCGGUAGCUGGUCUGAGAGGAUGAUCAGCCACACUGGGACUGAGACACGGCCCAGACUCCUACGGGAGGCAGCAGUGGGGAAUUUUGGACAAUGGGGGCAACCCUGAUCCAGCCACUCCGCGUGAGUGAAGAAGGCCUUCGGGUUGUAAAGCUCUUUUGUCCGGAACGAAACGGUGAACGUGAAUAUCGUUCGCUACUGACGUACCGAAGAAAAGCCCA